rnacentral:rRNA from 1 species
UCUUUUGUCCCUCAUGGGACAAUACUGAAAGACGGUUUCGGCUGUCGCUAUAGGAUGGGCCCGCGGCGCAUUAGCUAGUUGGUGAGGUAACGGCUCACCAAGGCAACGAUGCGUAGCCGACCUGAGAGGGUGAUCGGCCACACUGGGACUGAGACACGGCCCAGACUCCUACGGGAGGCAGCAGUAGGGAAUCUUCCACAAUGGGCGAAAGCCUGAUGGAGCAACGCCGCGUGAGUGAAGAAGGAUUUCGGUUCGUAAAACUCUGUUGUAAGGGAAGAACAAGUACAGUAGUAACUGGCUGUACCUUGACGGUACCUUAUUAGAAAGCCACGGCUAACUACGUGCCAGCAGCCGCGGUAAUACGUAGGUGGCAAGCGUUGUCCGGAAUUAUUGGGCGUAAAGCGCGCGCAGGUGGUUUCUUAAGUCUGAUGUGAAAGCCCACGGCUCAACCGUGGAGGGUCAUUGGAAACUGGGAGACUUGAGUGCAGAAGAGGAUAGUGGAAUUCCAAGUGUAGCGGUGAAAUGCGUAGAGAUUUGGAGGAACACCAGUGGCGAAGGCGACUAUCUGGUCUGUAACUGACACU